CAGGCCUAACACAUGCAAGUCGAACGCCUGUAGCAAUACAGGAGUGGCGCACGGGUGAGUAACACGAUGGGAACCUACCCUGGAGUGGGGGAUAACCGAGGGAAACCUCGGCUAAUACCGCAUACGACCUGAGGGUGAAAGAUUUAUCGCUCUAGGAGGGGCCCGCGUCGGAUUAGCUAGUUGGUGAGGUAACGGCUCACCAAGGCAAUGAUCCGUAGCUGGUCUGAGAGGAUGAUCAGCCACACUGGGACUGAGACACGGCCCAGACUCCUACGGGAGGCAGCAGUGGGGAAUAUUGGACAAUGGGGGCAACCCUGAUCCAGCAAUGCCGCGUGAGUGAUGAAGGCCUUAGGGUUGUAAAGCUCUUUCGGCGGGGACGAUGAUGACGGUACCGCAAGAAUAAGCCCCGGCUAACUUCGUGCCAGCAGCCGCGGUAAUACA
rnacentral:rRNA from 1 species